GCAUUUUCACACAAAGGAAGUAUUAAAUAAUAAAACAACAAUUGAAUAUAUAUGAUGGUGCAAUAAUAGGUUGAAAAUAAAUAAAUAUCUUAUAACAUUGAAAUCUUAUGUGUUCUUGCAAUAUACAUAAGUGGUGUUUCAAUCAAAUUUUAACAUUUAUUAUUUAUUCUAUGAUAGGGGCCCAGGGACUCCAGUAUUUGUUAUAUUUCCUCUACAGAGAGGUUUUUAAAUGAAAUGUAUUUUUCUAAGUUCAAGUGUUCCUUUAAAUAGUUUUUUUAAAGCAUUUAAAUUUGGCAAAACUUCUUGUAGUUUUGUUCGGUAAAUGUAGUAUUUUGAAAGUAGAAUAAUCUUAUUUUUAACAAAAUUCAAUUUAACAUUUUCGUAGAUACCAAAUAAAAUAAUCAUAAUAUUAAAAGGCAGUUCAAUAUUUGUCAUUUCAAAAAUCCAGAUGUUUAGUGCAUGCCAGAGACUGGCAACCAUCGGACAGCUCCAAAAUAAAUGUUCUAUGGUCUCUGGUCCUUCUUUACAAAAUGUACAUAUGUUGUUACUAUUUAUUUUCAUCUUGUAAAGUAGUGAAUUAGUUCCCAAAAUUCUAUGGAUAAUUCUAUAUUGGAACCAGCAAAGCUUAGUGCUUUUACUAUAUUUUGUACACGAAGUGUGUAUUUUUUUCCAGUUAAUACCAGUCAUAUUAAGAUGGUUCUCCCAUUUUUCCUUUGCAGCAAAUGUAACAUAUUUUUCAUUCAAUACUUUGUACAUUUCCUUUGAACCUUUUUUUGAUUCAAAAAAGAUACUUAUGUUAAAAGGUAGUAUUGCAUGAAUUUUUUUCUCCUUUACUUCAAUAUUAAUCGUGUUUAACCACUCAUUAAGCGAGUGCGCUAUUCCAUAAUAAUAUAAAAUAUUUGGCCUAAAUUGAUAUAAUUGUUGGAAAUUUUGAAAUGACAUAACUUUGCCCUGGUCAUCUAACAAAUCUUGCACUGUCCAAAUUCCCGCAUUUGCCCAGUUUUAAUAGUAGACUCUUGAACCACCAAUUUUAAAGUUUUCUACCUCCCAUAAAGAAUACGAUAGAAUUUCAUCAAUACAUCUUGGUUUUCUAAUUUGAUUAAGGGUUUUCCAAGCAUCAAAAACCUCUUGCCAAAAUUUAUUUGAUGACCUUUUAAUAGGCCCAAUAUAACUUAUUUCAAUAAAAUUUAUUUGCUCCACAAUAGAGACUAAUCUCACCCACUUUGAAUUCGAAUUAUACAGACGUCUUACCCAUGUAUUUAGUCCCUGUAUAAAUGCUUUUAAAUUUAGCAUUUUUAAACCACCCUUAUAAUAUUCUUGACAUAAAAGAUCUCGGUUGACCUUAUCUGGUUUAUUAUCCAAGAUAAAAGCAUACAUUUUAUUUGUUAAAUUACGUAACAUAUUCUCAUCUGGACUAGGAAUAGAUAGAAACAGAUGAUUUAAUUUAGCUAUGACCAAAGUUUUUAAAAUGGUAAUCUUUCCAAAGGGGGUGAGAUACUGUUUUGACCAUUUUUUCAAAGUGUUGUCUAUAUUAUCUAAAACUGGCCUAUAAUUUAAAUUAAUCAUUCUAUCUAGGUCGAAUGAAAACGUAAUUCCAAGUAGCAUAAAUGUACUGGAGCCCCAUUUCAAUCCCCACUUUACACAAAUUUGAUCCUGGCUAUGUUUUUUGCUACCUAUCCAAAUAACACUUGUUUUUUCUAUAUUAAUCUUAAGUCCCGAGAUUUCAGCAUACAAUUGGAGAACACGAAGAGAUGCAUCGAGCGAUUCUGGCGAGCCAUCUAAUAUCAAUGAUGUAUCAUCCUGCAUAUUGAGAAAGUACAAAUUCUGUAUCAUCUAUAGUAAUACCCUUUAUCUCCCUACUAUUUCUUACCAAAAUGCCUAAUAUUUCUGCACACAUAGCAAGAAAAUAUAAGGGGAUAAAGGAUCUCCCUGUCUACAGCCUCUCUCUAUAGUGAAGAAUUCUGACAGACAACAGUUUUGUGUCACCGCAGCUGUUAUAUUGUUAUAGAAGGUUUUAACCCAGGAUAUAACGGAUUCACCAAAAUUAAAAUAUCUUAAUGUAUCAUAAAGAAAUGACCACGAUAUGGAAUCGAAUGCCUUCUCAAAAUCAAUCAGCAAGAGAAUUCCUGGAAUAUUAUUUUCUUCAGGAAAAUGUAGAAUAUCAUAUAUUAAACGACAAUUUUCGCCUAUAUAUCUACCUGGAACAAAACCAGUUUGAUCCGAACUUAUUAAUUUUGACAAAACAGAUUUUAUUCUCUCUGCUAUACAGCUUGAUGCCAAUUUAUAUGUAGAAUUUAGUAGAGUAAUAGGUCUCCAAUUUUUAAGAAAUUGUUUUGGUUUACCAUCUUUUGGAAUACAUGUAAUCACUCCCUGCCUCUGGGUGACAGACAUUUGGCCCUUCCCAUAUCCAAAAUUUAUAGAUCUAAGGACAAAUUUACCAAUAUCAAUCCAAAAAAAUUUGAAAAAAUUCUGCAGUGAAACCAUCAGAUCCAGGACUCUGUUAUUUUUCAUCCUCUUUAAUGCUGCAGUUAAUUCAGAAAAAAUAAUAUUUCCCUCCAAUAAUUGCUUUUCAUCCUCGCUAAGCUUUCGGUAUCUCGUCAUAACAAAAGUCCCGUGUUAAAUCAACCUUUUUUAAACAAUCUUGUUUUCUAUAAAGUUUUUCAUAAAACACCUUUGUCUGAUUUAAGAUUUCUUUUUGUUCUUCCACUAUAACACCAUUUUCUAAAGUAAGUUUUUGAAUAGUCUUAUUUAUAUAAUUUCUAGUCUCUAGAUUAAAAAAAAAAAUUUGAGGUUUUUCUCCUUCUUCAAUCCACUGACUUCUUGACCUAACAUAUUGUCCUGAACCUUCUUUUGUCUAUACAUUUUAAGUUCUGCUUUUUUCUGAUCAAUCUCUUCCAGAUUUUCUACUGUUAGAGCAUUUUCUUCUAAUUGUUUUAAUUUUGAAAUAAUUUCAUUUUCAAUUUUUAUACCCGCCUUUUUUUUUAUAAGAGGCAUAUGAAAUAGUUUUACCGCGUAUUUCUGUGAGUAGAGUUUCGAAAAAUAACUGGUCAUCAACAGUAAAUUCAAUUUCAGAGUUGUCAAUAUUUUGUAAAUUUUCAUCUCUAUAUAUCUUGACAGCAUAUUGUUCUUUUACUAUACUUAUGAGUUUUUUUUUAUCUCUUUAACAUAGUCAGUAUCAUGAAGAAGGGAAUUAUUAAACUUCCAAAGGCCUCUGCCUUUUAUAAAUUCAUUAAUCUUGAAAGAAAAGACCACAGGUGAAUGAUCAGACCUGUAACUAUUAUCAAUUUUAACAUCGUUAACAAAGUGAAAAAUAUU
rnacentral:lncRNA from 1 species